GGGGGUGACCGGUUUCGACGGGGAACGACUGGGCCUGAGAGGCGAGUCGAGUCGGCAAGAGCUCGUAAAAAAGUUGCAACUUUGUAUAAACGCCAAGAGACAGCCACAGCUGGCUCUCGCGGCCUAGUGCCGCGUGUUCUAGUCCGUUUCGCCGUUAGAGCGAAUUAGAGCAUCAAACUAUAACGGCUGCCUAUGAGAUGAUCGGUCUUUGUUGUCUCGGGGAGAAGAUAGAAGAUAUGGCCUGUAGCGAUCCCGCUCUGAAGAGCGCUGCAGGGCGAGAGUAAAGUCGGAGCUACACUCGUAGAUUCUUAGGUAGGGUCUUUUCCGGACGCGGGUUCAACUCCCGCCACCUCCACCA
rnacentral:tmRNA from 1 species